rnacentral:rRNA from 1 species
CCUACGGGAGGCAGCAGUAGGGAAUCUUCCACAAUGGGCGAAAGCCUGAUGGAGCAACGCCGCGUGGGUGAAGAAGGUCUUCGGAUCGUAAAACCCUGUUGUUAGAGAAGAAAGUGCGUGAGAGUAACUGUUCACGUUUCGACGGUAUCUAACCAGAAAGCCACGGCUAACUACGUGCCAGCAGCCGCGGGAAUACGUAGGUGGCAAGCGUUGUCCGGAUUUAUUGGGCGUAAAGGGAACGCAGGCGGUCUUUUAAGUCUGAUGUCAAAGGCUUCGGCUUAACCGGAGUAGUGCAUUGGAAACUGGGAGACUUGAGUGCAGAAGAGGUGAGUGGAACUCGAGGUGUAGCGGUGAAAUGCAUAGAUAUAGGGAAGAACACCGAUGGCGAAAGCAGCUCUCUGGUCUGUAACUGACGCUGAGGUUCGAAAGCGUGGGUAGCAAACAGGAUUAGAUACCCCAGUAGUC